AUGGCUAACAUUACUGCCUGUGUUGAGAAUUAAGAAACGAGGACAAGAGGAGUUGAGCUAGAAUCAGUUGAAACCAAAAGUGUAUUUUGAAGUUCUUACCGGAGAACUUCAGUCCGGAGCUUGGGAACCAGGACCAGAGAAUGUAGAAUGACCCCAAGGCAAAUCAGACCCACCUAUAUAACCUACAGUAACUUUCUUUGUCAAGAAAUCUGCAUGAAUGUGUUUGCGCAUUUGUAAGCGGUGAACAGAAUAAGCACAGCAACUAAAGGUAUUUCUGUGAGGUCCUCAAUGAAAAGGUUUCAAGAAAAAAAGGCUUAUGAAUACAAGGUGAUACAGUAUGUGCGCUGCAAAUGGUUCUUGUGGCUGAGCAAUUGAGACGGAUAAUGGAUUCACCAAGUAAAGUGAAUUACGAGCAGAGGCUAUGGUGCACACAGAUCAAGAAUAAGCAUGGGGAGAGCAAGAGUGAGUGACAGAAUGAAACAGGCAUCAUGCAGAGGAGUAGGAGAGAGGAUAACGGAGAAAACCGAGCAAGGGCGAAACACUAACAGUGAUAAAGAGAGUGCAAGCAAGGGAGACUAGCACUCCAUAGUGCCAU